GAUGAACACUGGCGGCGUGCUUAACACAUGCAAGUCGAACGGUGAAGCAGAGCUUGCUCUGUGGAUCAGUGGCGAACAGGUGAGUAACACGUGAGCAACCUGCCCUGGACUCUGGGAUAAGCGCUGGAAACGGCGUCUAAUACUGGAUACGAGACGUGGCCGCAUGGUCAACGUUUGGAAAGAUUUUUUGGUUCAGGAUGGGCUCGCGGCCUAUCAGCUUGUUGGUGAGGUAAUGGCUCACCAAGGCGUCGACGGGUAGCCGGCCUGAGAGGGUGACCGGCCACACUGGGACUGCGACACGGCCCAGACUCCUACGGGAGGCAGCAGUGGGGAAUAUUGCACAAUGGGCGAAAGCCUGAUGCAGCAACGCCGCGUGAGGGAUGACGGCCUUCGGGUUGUAAACCUCUUUUAGCAAGGAAGAAGCGAAAGUGACGGUACUUGCAGAAAAAGCGCCGGCUAACUACGUGCCAGCCGCCGCAGUAAAAC
rnacentral:rRNA from 1 species